GGGGGAUUAGCUCAGCUGGCUAGAGCGUGACGCUGGCAGUGUCAAGGUCAUCGGUUCGACUCCGAUAUUCUCCA
rnacentral:tRNA from 1 species